GUAUAAGAGACAGCAGUAGCCGCGGGAACACGAGGGGGGCAAGCGUUGUUCGGAAUUAUUGGGCGUAAAGGGUGCGUAGGCGGCCCCGCAAGUCUCAUGCGAAAUCUUCAGGCUCAACUUGAAGUCUGCAUGGGAAACUGCGGGGCUGGAGUAUGGGAGAGGUGAGUGGAAUUCCUGGUGUAGCGGUGAAAUGCGUAGAUAUCAGGAGGAACACCUGUGGCGAAAGCGGCUCACUGGACCAUAACUGACGCUCAUGCACGAAAGCGUGGGGAGCAAACAGGAUUAGAUACCCCAGUAGUCCCUGUCUCUUAUAA
rnacentral:rRNA from 1 species